rnacentral:rRNA from 1 species
GAUGAACGCUGGCGGCGUGCCUAAUACAUGCAAGUCGAGCGAACAGACGAGGAGCUUGCUCCUCUGACGUUAGCGGCGGACGGGUGAGUAACACGUGGAUAACCUACCUAUAAGACUGGGAUAACUUCGGGAAACCGGAGCUAAUACCGGAUAAUAUAUUGAACCGCAUUGUUCAAUAGUGAAAGACGGUUUUGCUGUCACUUAUAGAUGGAUCCGCGCCGCAUUAGCUAGUUGGUAAGGUAACGGCUUACCAAGGCAACGAUGCGUAGCCGACCUGAGAGGGUGAUCGGCCACACUGGAACUGAGACACGGUCCAGACUCCUACGGGAGGCAGCAGUAGGGAAUCUUCCGCAAUAGGCGAAAGCCUGACGGAGCAACGCCGCGUGAGUGAUGAAGGUCUUCGGAUCGUAAAACUCUGUUAUUAGGGAAGAACAAAUGUGUAAGUAACUAUGCACGUCUUGACGGUACCUAAUCAGAAAGCCACGGCUAACUACGUG